rnacentral:tRNA from 1 species
GGUCCUAUGGCUUAAUGGAUAAAGCGCCGGUCUACGGAGACAUACGACGUUGAAAACCGGAGAUUCCAGGUUCGAUCCCUGGUAGGAUCG